CCAUGGCUUCGUUUUUAGAAUUUUGUGGAUUAACCAGCAUGCCCUAGCAUCAAAACCAGAACUGCCAUGCCCAUUCCACAAACAGACACUAGUACAGGUACCACGAGGGGCUAUCCUACUUUAGGAACAGUAAAGGACGAUCCCUUGUUCUGCACUGCAGAAAGAUCACAAAAACAAAUAACAAGUAACAGGUCUAACAUAGUCGCCACCAACGCGACCUGCAGGCAGGUCCAACGACCCCCACAGCAAAGACGGUCAAAUCUCGGGUGGCUUUCCCAGUGAACAGUUGCAUCUCUCCCGGCCGCAAACAGUAUCAUCCUUCAGU
rnacentral:lncRNA from 1 species